rnacentral:rRNA from 1 species
GACGAACGCUGGCGGCGUGCUUAACACAUGCAAGUCGAACGGAAAGGCCCUGCUUUUGUGUGGUGCUCGAGUGGCGAACGUGUGAGUAACACGUGAGUAACCUGCCCUUGACUUUGGGAUAACUUCAGGAAACUGGGGCUAAUACCUGAUAGGAGCUCCUGCUGCAUGGUGGGGGUUGGAAAGUUUCGGCGGUUGGGGAUGGACUCGCGGCUUAUCAGCUUGUUGGUGGGGUAGUGGCUUACCAAGGCUUUGAAGGGUAGCCGGCCUGAGAGGGUGACCGGCCACAUGGGGACUGAGAUACGGCCCAGACUCCUACGGGAGGCAGCAGUGGGGAAUAUUGCACAAUGGGCGGAAGCCUGAUGCAGCAACGCCGCGUGCGGGAUGAAGGCCUUCGGGUUGUAAACCGCUUUCGCCUGUGACGAAGCGUGAGUGACGGUAAUGGGUAAAGAAGCACCGGCUAACUACGUG